rnacentral:tRNA from 2 species
GCUCGGUUAGCUCAGGGGUAGAGCACCACAUUGACAUUGUGGGGGUCGCAGGUUCAAAUCCCGCAUCGAGCACCA